AACGAACGCUGGCGGCAGGCUUAACACAUGCAAGUCGAACGCCCCGCAAGGGGAGUGGCAGACGGGUGAGUAACGCGUGGGAACAUACCCUUUCCUGCGGAAUAGCCCCGGGAAACUGGAAUUAUUACCGCAUACGCCUUACGGGGGAAAGAUUUAUCGGGGAAGGAUUGGCCCGCGUGGGAUUAGCUCGUUGGUGGGGUAAAGGCCUACCAAGGCGACGAUCCAUAGCUGGUCUGAGAGGAUGAUCAGCCACAUUGGGACUGAGACACGGCCCAAACUCCUACGGGAGGCAGCAGUGGGGAAUAUUGGACAAUGGGCGCAAGCCUGAUCCAGCCAUGCCGCGUGAGUGAUGAAGGCCUUAGGGUUGUAAAGCUCUUUCACCGAUGAAGAUAAUGACGGUAGUCGGAGAAGAAGCCCCGGCUAACUUCGUG
rnacentral:rRNA from 1 species